UGGUCAAUGAUGAUGACUCAAUGUCAUUAAGAGAGGUGACAACAUCAAAAUAAGUUUCUAGGAGUACACGGAGUCCC